GUUGAAGAGAUACACAUAUAAUAGCAGAAACAACAAUGCAGUUCCUGGCUAAUGUUAAAUGAUGAUAAAGUCCCUGAUACUGUCACAAGAGUCUUUAGCAGCAGGAACGCAAACAACAAACUUCCCUUAAUAACAUCAAUAACUACAUCUGAACAGUUAAACUCCUAUGUACCUGCCGGUAAAUUAUGUGCACAACGUUGGGGCCCUUAGGUGUAGGUAGCGCUACCCAGAUACAGUUACAAGGGAGAAUCCUAAAGCAAUCUCUGGAGACAGGGCCAUUGAGUGACUUCUGUAACUGCAGAUAUCUCCAGAGAGAUCCAGCAGAAUGUAGGACAGCAGCAGAACAGCAAUGGCAAUCCUUUCUCUUCCUUCUGCUGACAGGAUGCAAGAGCUCAUUCACACUGCUGCAGAAAGUUCCAGAAUCUGGAGGGAGCUGAACAUUAAAUGACAGUCUUCUAAUCAGGGCCGGACUGGGAAAAAAAUUCAGCCCGGGCAUUUUUUUAUCACAGCGGCCCACUAAGAAGGGGGCGGGGCAGAGAGGGUG